rnacentral:rRNA from 1 species
UACGGAGGGGGCGGGCGUUAUUCGGAAUUAUUGGGCGUAAAGGGCGCGUAGGCGGCCCGGUAAGUCAAAGGUGAAAUCCCUCGGCUCAACUGAGGAACUGCCUUUGAAACUGUCGGGCUUGAGGCCGGGAGGGGGUAGCGGAAUUCCCAGUGUAGCGGUGAAAUGCGUAGAUACUGGGAGGAACACCAGUGGCGAAGGCGGCUACCUGGACCGGUUCUGACGCUGAUGCGCGAAAGCGUGGGGAGCGAACAGG